GCAUAUCAAUAAGCGGAGGAAAAGAAACUAACAAGGAUUCCCCUAGUAACGGCGAGUGAAGCGGGAAGAGCUCAAAUUUGAAAUCUGGUGGCCUCAGGUCAUCCGAGUUGUAAUCUAUAGAAGUGUUUUCCGUGCUGGCUCAUGUACAAGUCCCUUGGAACAGGGCGUCAUAGAGGGUGAGAAUCCCGUCCUUGACAUGAACUACCAGUGCUCUGUGAUACAUUUUCAACGAGUCGAGUUGUUUGGGAAUGCAGCUCAAAAUGGGUGGUAAAUUCCAUCUAAAGCUAAAUAUUGGCGAGAGACCGAUAGCGAACAAGUACCGUGAGGGAAAGAUGAAAAGCACUUUGGAAAGAGAGUUAAACAGUAUGUGAAAUUGUUGAAAGGAAACGAUUGAAGUCAGUCGUGCUCUUUGGAUUCAGCCGGUUCUGCCGGUGUACUUCCUUUGAGUGGGGUCAACAUCAGUUUUGAUCGCUGGAUAAAGGCUGGAGGAACGUAGUACCCUCGGGUAAACUUAUAGCCUCCUGUCACAUACAGUGGUUGGGACUGAGGAACGCAGCACGCCUUUAUGGCCGGGAUUCGUCCACGUACGUGCUUAGGAUGUUGACAUAAUGGCUUUAAACGACCCGUCUUGAAACACGGACC
rnacentral:rRNA from 1 species